rnacentral:rRNA from 1 species
CAGUCGCCACGGUAAUACAGAGGGUGCGAGCGUUAAUCGGAUUUACUGGGCGUAAAGCGUGCGUAGGCGGCUAAUUGAGUCGGAUGUGAAAUCCCCGAGCUUAACUUGGGAAUUGCAUUCGAUACUGGUUAGCUAGAGUGUGGGAGAGGAUGGUAGAAUUCCAGGUGUAGCGGUGAAAUGCGUAGAGAUCUGGAGGAAUACCGAUGGCGAAGGCAGCCAUCUGGCCUAACACUGACGCUGAGGUACGAAAGCAUGGGGAGCAAACAGGAUUAGAUACCCGCGUAGUCCCUGUCUCUUAUAC